AGCAGAUUCGAAAAAUCAGGCCA
rnacentral:siRNA from 1 species